rfam:Bacillus sp. TS-2 DNA, contig: BspTS2nb28.
GUAUUUAGGUAAUCGCUGCACAUUUGUGUAGAGGAAAGUCCAUGCUCGCACAGACUGCGAUGUCUGUAGUGUUCGUGCCUAGCGAAGUCAUAAGCUAGGGUAGCUUGGGUUCAUAGCCUGUGCUAACGGCAAGAUAAGCACCUAAGUCAUCCGAUAGGGUGUGAAGUCUUUGAAAGUGCCACAGUGACGUAGUCUGAUUGGAAACAAUUAGAGUGGAACGCGGUAAACCCCUCGAGCGAGAAACCCAAAACAUGGUAGGGGCAUCUUCUCUUUCGGAAAUGAACGAAUCAGAAGAACAAGAAUUGACUCUCUUGUAGAUAGAUGGUUACCACCGGAGUACGAGGUUCAUCACCGUUUGCAGUACAAAGGAACAGAACAUGGCUUAUCAAA